rfam:Otolemur garnettii contig007600, whole genome shotgun sequence.
GUGCUCGCUUCGGCAGCACAUAUACUAAAUUUGGAACGAUAUGGAGAUUAGCACAUACCUGUGCCAGGAUGCCACCCAAAUUCAUGAAGCAUUUCAUAUUUUU